rnacentral:rRNA from 1 species
UACGUAGGUGGCGAGCGUUGUCCGGAUUUACUGGGCGUAAAGGGAGCGUGGGCGGACUUUUAAGUGAGAUGUGAAAUACUCGGGCUCAACUUGAGUGCUGCAUUUCAAACUGGAAGUCUAGAGUGCAGGAGAGGAGAACGGAAUUCCUAGUGUAGCGGUGAAAUGCGUAGAGAUUAGGAAGAACACCAGUGGCGAAGGCGAUUCUCUGGACUGUGACUGACGCUGAGGCUCGAAAGCGUGGGGAGCAAACAGG